AUAGGGGGGAUUUGCUCUCGAUCAUGCUCAAAACUAGAGCCUAAUAUUUGACUGGCUCGGUGAGGCACUCUUCCCACUGGAAAGAUCCUCCUCUCCCACCUCCGAUAGUAGAGCCCAGUUUCUCACAUCCCGUAAUCACCACGGAUGCCCAGAUCACUGUACUUGUGCAGCAGAUGAAUAUCCUAACGAAGGCAGUCAAAAGUCUCCAACAACAACAAACCC
rnacentral:lncRNA from 1 species